GACAGAGGGUGCAAACGUUGUUCGGAAUUACUGGGCGUAAAGCGAGUGUAGGCGGUUUGCUAAGUCGGAUGUGAAAGCCCCGGCUCAACCCGGGAAGUGCACUCGAAACUGGCAGGCUAGAGUACUGGAGAGGUUGGUGGAAUUCUCGGUGUAGAGGUGAAAUUCGUAGAUAUCGAGAGGAACACCGGUGGCGAAGGCGGCCAACUGGACAGAUACUGACGCUGAGACUCGAAAGCGUGGGGAGCAAACAGG
rnacentral:rRNA from 1 species